AUGGUUCCUCUAGAGCCUCUGGAAUUAGAAGGAGACAAGAAGAGGGAAAGAGUCGCAGUCGGUGCUCCUUUCACCUGGAUUGCAUGGAACUUUGGGAAUUGCCCUGAGAAUGCUAAUGAUGAUGAGGUCAAGACAUAUGCUCGUGUCUACAUGUGGUAGGUUAUAUCCAGGACUAUGUUUGCUGAUGGCACAGGCAAGAAUGCUUGA
rnacentral:rRNA from 1 species